ensembl:lncRNA
GGCUGAUGAACCCACUCCAUUUAAGCAUUCAAGCAAGCCUAUUUUUUUUUAGCAGUGUAUUCUAUUCAUUACGUUAUGCAUUAAUGUGAAUACAUCUUUCUGUCCCUUGCCACCACUAUAGCCUCCACUGGCAUGGUCCCAGUCCACACACUUAAAUUAUUUCUCGAGAUUAGAGGUCUAAAAUAUUAUUUUGUGUGGCCGCCGCCGGCCCGGCCUGGACGCAUGAUCACUCUGCCGGGUCUGGUUACCAUGCUCAAUCUUUCACCCAUGGGGCUGUGUGAGUGUGUGUUUCUCUGUGUCUGAACGUGUCUCUGUCUGUCUGUCUGCAUCUGAGCGCGUGUCUGUGUGUGUGUCUCUGUCUGUCUGUGUGUCUGUCUAUUUGUUUAUGUGUGUGUGGGUGGGUGGGUGCGUGUGUGUGUGUGCUUUUGUUUGCGUCUGUGACUCCUCUCUCACCCAGGUUGCUUCACUUUAAACCCAAGAACACUGCUGCCUGUCCAGGGUGGACACAACAAACGUGUGAUGUAAUUUCCUCCUCGGGGGGCAUCUGCUCGAGUCCUCAUGGUAGCAGCGGUAACAGGUGGGCUCAGCUUCAGAGGUUCCAGCAGUGUAGCAGGCACCAGGCAGUGUGGUCCCUGGACCCUGGAACAGCCUCAAUUCGUCCGGGCAUGAACUUUACAAGAUGUCGAAAAGCGUUCCACAGCGAUGCUGGCCCAUGUUGACUCCAAUGCUUCCCACAGUUGUGUCAAGUUGGCUGGAUGUCCUUUGGGUGUUUGACCAUUCUUCAUGCUCAAAGGAAACUGUUGAGUGUGUAAAAUCCAGCAGCAUUGCAGUUCUUGACAAACCAGUGUGCCUGGCACCUACUUCCAUACCCCGUUCAAAGGAUAACCUGCUGCUCACCAUUUACUUCCUGUGUAUGUCCCAAAUGGCACCCUAUUCCCUGUAUAGUGCAUUACGUUUGACGAGGGCCCGAAACAAUUGCACUAUAUAGGGAAAAGGGUGCCAUUUGGGACGCAACCCUGUUUUUCAACACUGACUUGGUGGAGGAGGGGAAAGUCGUGACAGAAACCGGAAGCAGGCCAAAGAGAAGGACAAUAGAAAAGUGUGUGUAAAUACCAGACUGAGGACCUGAGCCCUAGGACCAUGCCUCAGGACUACCUGACAUGAUGACUCCUUGCUGUCCCCAGUCCACCUGGCCGUGCUGCUGCUCCAGUUUCAACUGUUCUGCCUGUGAUUACUAUUAUUUGACCAUGCUGGUCAUUUAUGAACAUUUGAACAUCUUGGCCAUGUUCUGUUAUAAUCUCCACCCGGCACAGCCAGAAGAGGACGGGCCACCCCACAUAGCCUGGUUCCUCUCUAGGUUUCUUCCUUGGUUUUGGCCUUUCUAGGGAGUUUUUCCUAGCCACUGUGCUUCUACACCUGCAUUGCUUGCUGUUUGGGGUUUUAGGCUGGGUUUCUGUACAGCACUUUGAGAUAUCAGCUGAUGUACGAAGGGCUAUAUAAAUACAUUUGAUUUGAUAACAUUUCAUUGGGUAUGUAUUAAUUUGUGGAUGUGCACCACCAAUUUCGUAUUAUAUGUUAUGAUCAUCAAGGACAACAACCACCCGAGCCACUGCCUGUUCACCCCGCUAUCAUCCAGAAGGCAAGGUCAGUACAGGUGCAUCAAAGCAGGGACUGAGAGACUGAAAAACAGCUUCCAUCUCAAGGCCAUCAGACUGUUAAACAGCCACCACUAACAUUGAGUGGCUGCUGCCAACAUACUGACUCAAUUCCAGCUCACUUCAAUAAUGGAAAUUGAUGUAAAAAAUGUAUCAGUAGCCACUUUAAACAAUGCCACUUAAUAUAAUGUUUACAUACCCUACAUUACUCAUCUCAUAUGUAUAUACUGUACUCUAUAUCAUCUACUGCAUCUUGCCAUCUUUAUGUAAUACAUGUAUCACUAGCCACUUUAAACUAUGCCACUUAAUAUAAUGUUUACAUACCCUACAUUUCUCAUAUGUAAAUACUGUACUCGAUACCAUCUACUGCAUCUUGCCUAUGCCGUUCUGUACCAUCACUCAUUCAUAUAUCUUUAUGUACAUAUUCUUUAUCCCUUUACACUUGUGUGUGUAUAAGGUAGUAGUUGUGGAAUUGUUAGGUUAGAUUACUCGUUGGUUAUUACUGCAUUGUCGGAACUACAAGCAUUUCGCUACACUCGCAUUAACAUCUGCGAACCAUGUGUAUGUGACAAAUAAAAUUUGAUUUGAACUACAAUUCGUAUUAUAUGUUACAAAUUUGCCAAAUGUACAAUAUGUUACAAAUGAGAAAAAUAUACAAUAUAUUACGUAUUUUCAAAAUGUAGUAUACGUUAUGAAUUCUUGCUAGGUAACUAACAUUAGCUAACUGAAUUAGGGGCUAAGGUUAAGUUUAGGAGUUAGGUUAAAUGAUUAAGGUUAGGUGAAUGAUUAGCUAACAUUCUAAGUAGUUGAAAAGUUGCUAAUUAGUCAGUGAUGGGAUUUGAACUCUCAACUGCUGGGCUGCUAGACGUUGGCGUUAUAUGCUAACCCAUCCAGCCUGACUAACCAUUUCUACCUUUGCAUUUUCCUUAAAGCAAAU